UUAAAUUGAAGAGUUUGAUCAUGGCUCAGAUUGAACGCUGGCGGCAGGCCUAACACAUGCAAGUCGAACGGUAACAGAAAGCAGCUUGCUGCUUUGCUGACGAGUGGCGGACGGGUGAGUAAUGUCUGGGAAACUGCCUGAUGGAGGGGGAUAACUACUGGAAACGGUAGCUAAUACCGCAUAACGUCGCAAGACCAAAGAGGGGGACCUUCGGGCCUCUUGCCAUCGGAUGUGCCCAGAUGGGAUUAGCUUGUUGGUGGGGUAACGGCUCACCAAGGCGACGAUCCCUAGCUGGUCUGAGAGGAUGACCAGCCACACUGGAACUGAGACACGGUCCAGACUCCUACGGGAGGCAGCAGUGGGGAAUAUUGCACAAUGGGCGCAAGCCUGAUGCAGCCAUGCCGCGUGUAU
rnacentral:rRNA from 1 species